rnacentral:rRNA from 1 species
UACGAAGGGGGCUAGCGUUGUUCGGAUUUACUGGGCGUAAAGCGCACGCAGGCGGUUCGUUAAGUCGGGGGUGAAAUCCUGGAGCUCAACUCCAGAACUGCCUUCGAUACUGGCGAUCUUGAGUCCGGAAGAGGUGAGUGGAACUCCUAGUGUAGAGGUGGAAUUCGUAGAUAUUAGGAAGAACACCAGUGGCGAAGGCGGCUCACUGGUCCGGUACUGACGCUGAGGUGCGAAAGCGUGGGGAGCAAACAGG